UGCUAUCGGGGUUCGAUUAAGCCAUGCGAGUCGAGAGGUGCAAGACCUCGGCGCACUGCUCAGUAACACGUGGAUAACCUACCCUCAGGAGGGGGAUAACCCCGGGAAACUGGGGAUAAUACCCCAUAGACCAGGGACGCUGGAAUGCCUCCUGGUCCAAAGGUCCGCCGCCUGAGGAUGGGUCUGCGGCCGAUUAGGUUGUUGUUGGGGUAACGGCCCAACAAGCCUUUGAUCGGUACGGGUUGUGAGAGCAAGAGUCCGGAGAUGGAUUCUGAGACACGAAUCCAGGCCCUACGGGGCGCAGCAGGCGCGAAAACUUUACAAUGCGAGAAAUCGUGAUAAGGGAACCCCGAGUGCCCGUAAAUUCGGGCUGUCCAUCAGUGUAAAUAACUGGUGAAGAAAGGGCCGGGCAAGACCGGUGCCAGCCGCCGCGGUAAUACCGGCGGCUCGAGUGGUGGCCACUAUUACUGGGCUUAAAGCGUCCGUAGCUUGAUUGUUAAGUCUCUUGGGAAAUCCACCGGCUCAACCGAUGGGCGUUCAGGAGAAACUGG
rnacentral:rRNA from 1 species